rnacentral:rRNA from 1 species
GACAACGCUGGCGGCGUGCUUAACACAUGCAAGUCGAACGAGAAUCGUACAAAAGGAGGAUUCGUCCAACGGAGUACGAGGACAGUGGCGGACGGGUGAGUAACGCGUGAGUAACCUGCCUUUCAGAGGGGGACAACAGUUGGAAACGACUGCUAAUACCGCAUAACGCAGCGGGGUCGCAUGACCUUGCUGUCAAAGAUUUAUCGCUGAAAGAUGGACUCGCGUCUGAUUAGCUAGUUGGUGAGGUAAAGGCCCACCAAGGCGACGAUCAGUAGCCGGACUGAGAGGUUGACCGGCCACAUUGGGACUGAGAUACGGCCCAGACUCCUACGGGAGGCAGCAGUGGGGAAUAUUGGGCAAUGGGCGCAAGCCUGACCCAGCAACGCCGCGUGAAGGAAGAAGGCUUUCGGGUUGUAAACUUCUUUUGUCAGGGAAGAGUAGAAGACUGUACCUGGCGAAUAAGCCACGGCUAACUACGUG